rnacentral:rRNA from 1 species
GACGAACGCUGGCGGCGUGCCUAAUACAUGCAAGUUGAGCGCUGAAGGUUGGUACUUGUACCAACUGGAUGAGCAGCGAACGGGUGAGUAACGCGUGGGGAAUCUGCCUUUGAGCGGGGGACAACAUUUGGAAACGAAUGCUAAUACCGCAUAAAAACUUUAAACACAAGUUUUAAGUUUGAAAGAUGCAAUUGCAUCACUCAAAGAUGAUCCCGCGUUGUAUUAGCUAGUUGGUGAGGUAAAGGCUCACCAAGGCGAUGAUACAUAGCCGACCUGAGAGGGUGAUCGGCCACAUUGGGACUGAGACACGGCCCAAACUCCUACGGGAGGCAGCAGUAGGGAAUCUUCGGCAAUGGACGAAAGUCUGACCGAGCAACGCUGCGGGAGUGAAGAAGGUUUUCGGAUCGUAAAACUCUGUUGGUAGAGAAGAACGUUGGUGAGAGUGGAAAGCUCAUCAAGUGACGGUAACUACCCAGAAAGGGACGGCUAACUACGUG